UCACGAACUAGGUAAGUGCGUGUGUGUGUGUGCAUACGAUCGUACAUUCUAGUGCAUAUAAGUACAGCAAUCCGAAUGCAGUCGCCAAACGACAGCAGCGGUGAAACGGGGCCGCGACCUCAAGUGCUACCGACGACCGUUGCAACGAGUGCCGCCGACUUGCUGCAAUGGACGGACCGUAUUUGGAAGCCGAUGGCAUAAAAAGAUAACAUACAUACAUACUUACACGUCAGACCGACUCGUUGUGAAAAACAUGAAACAGUUAUAAUAUGAUUAUUAUUAUUAUGUUAAUCUUAAUUGUAUUCCGUCUAUUAACAUCACACUGUAACUUGGAAAAAUGACCCUCAAAAUGUGGCAUAAUGUGACUACUUGCUGUCAAUAUUCAAUAACAAACUAUUGUGCGGUUCAUUAUUUAAAGUCCAAAUGAAACAUUAUAUAGUGUAAAAAAAUGUGCAUAAAUCAAUAAUCAUAAUAUAAUCUAAUACUAUAAU